AGGGCUUGAGGUUUUCUGGAGUGAAUGAGACCGAGUACCACGUUUAUCUUCUCGGGAACCCUGUCAUCUGAUGGCUGAACCUCUUUAGUCUUGCUCUGUUUGUUUUAAUGCUGACAGUUGCAUCUUUAGCAAAACAGAGAGGAGUGAAGAUGGAGGGGAUGAGGAAAGUGCACUGUCACACUCUCAUGGAGGGUGGUGGGAUGCUGCUUUUGGGUUGGCUAUUACACUACCUCCCGUUCUACAUUAUGGGUCGCAUAUUCUACUACCACCAUUACUUUCCUGCCAUAUUCUUCAGCAGUAUGCUCA